rnacentral:rRNA from 1 species
CGGACGGGUGAGUAAUGCUUGGGAAUCUGGCUUAUGGAGGGGGAUAACUACGGGAAACUGUAGCUAAUACCGCGUAAUAUCUUUGGAUUAAAGGGUGGGACUUUCGGGCCACCUGCCAUAAGAUGAGCCCAAGUGGGAUUAGGUAGUUGGUGGGGUAAAGGCCUACCAAGCCGACGAUCUCUAGCUGGUCUGAGAGGAUGACCAGCCACACUGGAACUGAGACACGGUCCAGACUCCUACGGGAGGCAGCAGUGGGGAAUAUUGCACAAUGGGGGGAACCCUGAUGCAGCCAUGCCGCGUGAAUGAAGAAGGCCUUCGGGUUGUAAAGUUCUUUCGGUGAUGAGGAAGGCAGGUAAGUUAAUAGCUUACUUGAUUGACGUUAGUCACAGAAGAAGCACCGGCUAACUCCGUGCCAGCAGCCGCGGUAAUACGGAGGGUGCGAGCGUUAAUCGGAAUGACUGGGCGUAAAGGGCACGCAGGCGGUGACUUAAGUGAGAUGUGAAAGCCCCGGGCUUAACCUGGGAAUUGCAUUUCAUACUGGGUCGCUAGAGUAUUUUAGGGAGGGGUAGAAUUCCACGUGUAGCGGUGAAAUGCGUAGAGAUGUGGAGGAAUACCGAAGGCGAAGGCAGCCCCUUGGGAAUAUACUGACGCUCAUGUGCGAAAGCGUGGGGAGCAAACAGGAUUAGAUACCCUGGUAGUCCACGCUGUAAACGCUGUCGAUUUGGGGAUUGGGCUUUAAGCUUGGUGCCCGUAGCUAACGUGAUAAAUCGACCGCCUGGGGAGUACGGCC